rnacentral:misc_RNA from 3 species
UAACACCCAAGCAAUUUGCUGACGCAGAUUGCGGUGGUGAAGAUGACAUGAACCGAAAGUUCGCAAGGCAUCACAAACAUCACAUAUCCGAAUUCGCUGGGCUGUCCAUCUGGACAUUCUGGCUA